rnacentral:rRNA from 1 species
CCUAAAGUUAGUUGGUAAGCUCCAACUAAGGCUAAAUAUCACUGUGAGACCGAUAGCAAACAAGUACCGUGAGGGAAAGUUGCAAAGCACUUUGAAGAGAGAGUGCAAUAGGACGUGAAACCGCUUGCAGGGAAACAGAUGGACCCACGAAGUCCUGUGUAUUACUGAGUUGUUCUCUUUUGAACUACUCAGUACCAUACACGCGGAGCUNUGACUUGUAAAGCGUAUAAGUAGUUGAUGUAUAGUGUAGUGUUGUAUAGUUGUAUACUUUGUGUAUAUGUAUGUACAAUCACUGCGUUCAACUACUUGCUUUACAGGUUGGUUAUACUUUUACUCUAAGUAAAAGUUAUACCAGGUUGCUCGGUGUCUUGUACAUGGAGAUGUGAGUGAGUUAGUUGGAAAGAUGAUAAACUGGGGUUUACUCUUUGAGUAUUCUUCGGGUCUUUGCUUCUACUCAUUCAAUUCAAAAACAUCACCUGUACACAUCGAUUGCAAGCAAUUCCAGAGUAA